CGAAAUAGCAACGAUCCUCCUGCCGCAGCCUCCCAAGUGCUGAGAUUACAGGCGUGAGCCACAACGCCCGCCUUUACAUUUAACCUUGAUUGACUCCUCAACAUAUACAAAACUCCCUUUACUAACUCACUUCUCAUGGAAAACAGAAGCAGUAUGUGAUGUAAUUUCCAUUUAUCAUUUUACAAUACUAAUUUUGGAUACAAUAAAGCAAGUCUUUUUAGCAAAUUCAUACUAGAGUUUUUACAUCCCAACCUACCCUGUUUUUCAGUGUUCCAAGCUGCCAACCUGACCUCCUGGGCAAAGAAAAAAUUAAAUACCACAACACCUCAAAAUAGAAUUACUUUCAUCUUGAAGACGGAAUUACUUUAAACACACUCGUUUACGUUUUUGUUGUUGCUUUUCUUUUUGUAGUGCUGGGACUAAACCAAGAGCCUCAUGCAUGCCAGACAAGGAUUCUACCACUAAGCCACACCUCCAGCCCAAAUACACUAGUUUAAUAUACUGCCUCCCAUUGGUGUAAAUAGUGGCAUGCAAGAUCAUCUUAGUGGUAAAUAAACAUUUUUACUUGUGUUUUUAUUUUAACUUGCAUAACAAAAAUUGUAACCGAUGGCUUCAUUCCACGUUGGUAGAAACCACUGCACUUUAAAAAUAACUAAAGAAUAACUAACUCUAUUAAGAGUUAUUAAAAAUAACUAACUCUAUUAAGAAAACAGUACCGUUGAUAAGAAAGGAUGGCAAAAAUAGCCACGCAGGCAAGGGACUGACUUAAACUUGUGUAACAAUAUGCCGCUGGGGCGAAGAGGCUUGAUCAUAGCCCACAAAGUGAGUUAACCUGGGGUGGGGCUGAAGUCGCCACCUCUGCCCCCAGCUGACGACCAACUUGCUGCUGAGUCAAAGGACUAAGCAGAGAAACACAAGUGGCCUUUAGAUGCGCCAAUGGGGUUACAGCGCGCGGGGCACAACCCCGAGGUUAGAAGAGCCUCCAGGAGAAAGAGGGUGGGACACAGCAGAAUACAUGGAUCCAACCAGUUUAGACCGCCCCACCGGUCCUCCCCGGGUCCUGGCGGCAGGGGCCGCUUUCGCCAGCAGCCAGCAGGGUAGGCGAGCCUGGAUUUCCCAAAGACUCGGAACUACUGUAGGAUCGCCUAGUCCAAGUGACGCAAAACUGCGAGUCCUGCGCUGUGCAGCGCCAGAAGGCCCGUGAGAGUCUUAACUGCAACCCUGUGCCGUCUUAGGCAAGAUUGAGACUCGGACACCAAAAAACCCUCGCCGCCGUCGCCCCCUAAGGAUGAGACCGGUUCCUGCCGCUAGUGAAACCGGAGAUGGACCCGAGACUGAAAGACAAUGAAAGGGACCUUGGAAAUAAGAGCAGAGGAGUAGAAAAGCCAGGCCUGGGCGGGGACGCUGCGCUCUCGGCCUUCCUCAGAAUCCUUGCCCCACUCAUUCCUCACUGGUUGGGGGUGGCACGGGGUGAAAAGAGAGUGCAACAAGUUUCUGUCCUUUCCUGACGCAUUUAAAAGCCAUAUAAGCUUCACAGGUUUCCACUCACCCAGUAGGAGAGUGCUGUGUAUCAAUACGGAAAGGAAGCAGUGGAAUAAGUCAGAAAAUAUCGCCUAUUAAAUUUAAAUAUGCAAGAAA